CCCAUAAUUAUUUUUGGUUCGAAAAUACGUUUUAUCUACAAAUCUGUGGGACGGCGAUGGGCACCAAAUUCGCCCCGAGUUAUGCCAAUCUCUUUAUGGCAUUUUGGGAAGAAACAUGGGUAUUAUCAAACCAUGUGUGGGGGGCGAGUUUGGUGUCCUAUUGCCGCUUCAUAGACGAUAUCUUUUUUAUUUGGACUGGCACCAUAGAAGACUUACAAUCAUUUAUUACCCAGUUAAAUACCAAUGAUUAUGGAAUUCAUCUUACUUGCAACAAUAGUGCAUCCAACAUUAAUUUUUUAGAUCUUAACAUCAGGAUCGAAGAUGCGACGAUAGUUACCAGUAAUUAUUUUAAACCAGUUGAUGCAAACAACUACAUAAAUACUAAUAGCUGCCAUCAUAAACCUUGG